AGUGAACGCUGGCGGCGUGCUUAACACAUGCAAGUCGAACGAGAACGGAAUAUAGCUUGCUAUAUUUGUCAGCUAAGUGGCGCACGGGUGAGUAAUGUAUAGAUAACCUGCCCUUAAGAAAGGAAUAACAGUUGGAAACGACUGCUAAUGCCCUAUAUGCCUUUAAUACAUAAGUAUGCAAGGGAAACGCUUUAGUGCUUAAGGAUGGGUCUGUAUGGUAUCAGCUUGUUGGUGAGGUAAUGGCUCACCAAGGCUAUGACGCCUAACUGGUUUGAGAGGAUGAUCAGUCACACUAGAACUGAGACACGGGCCAGACUCCUACGGGAGGCAGCAGUGGGGAAUAUUGCACAAUGGACGAAAGUCUGAUGCAGCAACGCCGCGUGGAGGAUGACACAUUUCGGUGCGUAAACUCCUUUUAUAUAGGAAGAUAAUGACGGUACUAUAUGAAUAAGCACCGGCUAACUCCGUGCCAGCAGCCACCGUAA
rnacentral:rRNA from 1 species